AAUGAAUGGCAGAUCCUGAAGACUCACUUGUUCAGGCUAGCUUUUGGGUAGCCUAUGUCUUUUAUUUAUUGAUAAUUGUAUCUGUUGUAUUUGUAGUUUAUUCUACUGACUAU